UGAUUGAAUAUUUAUACCACAAUAUUCAACACUUCAAACGAAACAACCAAAGAGUGACACGAUAUGGCGUAAGCGAGGGCGUUAACUCUGGCGGCAAGGUGAAAGCACAAAAAAAAAAAACCCGGACCUUGCGUCCAGAGAAAACCUCCACCUCAACUUACCCAAUAACAAUCUCUAAAUCCUUGAAUACGCCACAAAACCAAAUCCAAGUUUUCACAAAAACAAACGCCCUUAAAUGAAUCUGCACGUUUCGAAACGUUUAAGUUUAAAACUGGCGCUAAAACCACGUCGUAACUCAAAAUAAAUCCAAACAUAAAACAGAAAUACCAACAUCACAAAACGAGCGUUUAUUUAACCGCUCAAGUUACGACUCAAACUUGGAACAAAAAACACGCAUCCGAACGUACCCAUCGUUGAACUUAUUUUGUCUGUGGUCUGUGCCUUUAAAAAAAACUAAAUGUCAACAAAAUAUUCAUCGUUACCUACAAAAUUCUAAUAUCUGCUGCUUUUAUUGCUACAAAUUAAUAAAACAACACUUAAUUCAACUACAAAAUCAUGGAAAACUAACAUAAGUGUGAUAAACGUUCGAUAAUCUAAAGGAAUGACUAAAAUUUAUUCAGAAAAUGCUAAUUGGAAUGCAAAUAAUUCUACUACUAACAGCAGAUUAUUAGAAACUGUCUACCUCUUAAGAAAUAUACACCACUAAAGCAACUAGGCACCUAGCAACAGCUACAACUAGACCACAGACUACAAAAGAAAACCAAAACAUGAACAUCAGAGGAACUCGGGUACUGAUAAUGUGCUGAAAAGCACAACUCCCAACGGAAACCUUCCAUUUGCAUGGAGAACAACACAAUCCACUUCGCCGGCAACCAACAACAAUGCAGCUGCCGGACACUCAAAAAUUCAAGCCGUUCAUGCACUUCCAACCAUUUCCGGUGUCGUCCCCGACUGAAUUCACCUGUAUAAGUUCAACGGGCACAAAAGUGAAAUUGCCACUGAAGACGCCAUUGUAUAAGUUCAAAACUCAAAAUAUUAAGUAUGUUGGCAACUGACUUACAAUAAAUAUAUAUUCUUACAAUGAUA